UACGAAGGGUGCAAGCGUUGCUCGGAAUUAUUGGGCGUAAAGGGUGAGUAGGUGGUCUGAUUUGUCUGUGGUGAAAUCCUUGGGCUCAACCUAAGAAGUGCCUCGGAAACGGUCGGACUAGAGUGCUGGAGAGGGUCGCAGAAUUCCCGGUGUAGCGGUGAAAUGCGUAGAGAUCGGGAGGAAUACCUGUGGCGAAAGCGGCGACCUGGACAGUAACUGACACUCAAUCACGAAAGCGUGGGGAGCAAACAGG
rnacentral:rRNA from 1 species